ACUCAAAUGAAUAGACGGGGACCCGCACAAGCAGCGGAGCAUGUGGUUCAAUUCGACGCAACGCGAAGAACCUUACCAGGGCUUGACAUCCUAUGACCAUUUUGGAAACAAAAUUUUCCGUAGCAAUACGGACAGAGAGACAGGUGGUGCAUGGUUGUCGUCAGCUCGUGUCGUGAGAUGUUGGGUUAAGUCCCGCAACGAGCGCAACCCUUAUGUACAGUUGCCAAUAUUCAGUUAGGAACUCUGUACAGACUGCCGUGGACAACACGGAGGAAGGUGGGGAUGACGUCAAAUCAUCACGCCCCUUACGUCCUGGGCAACACACGUGCUACAAUGGCUAUUACAAAGAGCAGCAAAACAGCAAUGUCAAGCGAAUCUCAAAAAAAUAGUCUCAGUUCGGAUUGUGGGCUGCAACUCGCCCACAUGAAGUCGGAGUUGCUAGUAAUCCCGAAUCAGAACGUCGGGGUGAAUGCGUUCCCGGGUCUUGUACACACCGCCCGU
rnacentral:rRNA from 1 species